AGGCCCUCAAUGACUUGCCAAAACUCAGUAAGCAGCCCUCCACCUGAAACUGCCUGCCCCUGCUGUAGUGGCUCCCAACAGCAGCUGUGUCCACUGUUAUCAGUUGUUUAACUGAUAUAAUUAGAGGAGCUUAAACAAAUAUUUUUUAAACAAUAUUUAUAUCCCUAGCUCACAGCUGGCUGGAGGAAGGAGGUGGGGCUGGGAUCAGAGGCUGUCACUGAUUUGGGUCGGCCAAGGAGGUGGGGCUGGCCUGGUCCUUGGGCAGUGCAAAGGAGCUCUGCCCAAGGCUAGAGCAGCAGCCCUGUGCAAUCUCACUGUACAAGUUAACCCUUGAUGGGAUCUGGCAUAAAUGUUCAACAAAGUGCUCUAACAGAAAGUGCUUAAGUCUAACACCUCAUCCAUCAAGGGUUAACUUAGAAUGCUUUAAAAAUGGUGAAUUGUGCUCUAAGAGCUGUGAACAUCUGUUCAGUUAUGGCUUUAGAGUGGUUUCUGCAUGAUUAAAGUGUGAUACUUGUAACAUCUGUAUCUUGCCUAUGUUUCUAACAAUUAGCUUUUAAACCUUUAAUGUUACUUUCUAUUUUCUUGCAAUAAGUUAAGUUCAGGUAUUUUUGCAAAAAACUCUCAGCAACUUUUCUCAAAAGAUACUUUAGGAAACAAAUUCUGCUCAAGGCUGUAACUUGCUUAACUGGUUUGAAAAUUCUAGGAAAAGAAAAAGUUUACUG